GAUUGGGACCACGGCACAGGUGCCAGCGCAAGCUGGCCAAUAGGGAAUUCGGUGCCGCCGCAGGGCUGCGUGGCGAUCUGUCCACACAUCUCGCGGCCAUUCCGAAGCUGCCCCCGCAACUGUCAGCGGUGAGCCGUUGUCCACGAUGCCACUGAGCGAAGGCGAUCAAGCCGGGCUUGGGAAGGCGGACAACGGUGACGAUCCGCGAGCCAGGAGACCUGCCUGUACCGGUCAUCCUUC
rnacentral:ncRNA from 2 species